AUGUAAUCGUGAGAACUGCUCCACAUACGGACGAUCCAAACAACCCUCCCUCUCUUAAAGUCCCUCUUUUCUUAUCCUGCAAUACAAAAUUAAUUGAAAGAAAAUUUUUAAAAAAUAAGCAGACAAGGCUUUGGUCACUGUUUGUCAUCUCUCAAUUUGCACUCACCUCUUUUAUUUUCUCUCGUCUGCAAUACCACACUGACGAUUCUGAGCUAGGUUUGGCUUUUGUAUUUAAUGGAGGAAACGGUUUAAGAUAAGGGAGAAAAAAGUGAAAAACUUGGUUGGUUAAGAGUCUGAGCGAAGGAAGGCGAAAGGCGAUCUCCUGAGAGUUUGAUCAUGGCGGUUGCUGAAAAUGCUGGUGCCAAAAUCGGGUCCUCCAAUGAGAAUUUGGACAACAAUGUAGUAUCAUCGGACUCAAAUGCGCCAAACCAUCUUGAAAACCCAAAACCCAGAAGCGAUGCCUCGGUCAAGAGUACCAAAGACUCGAGCUUGCAUGUUCAAAACAAUGAUCGGAAUUCGAACGGGAACUCUCAUCUCCGAGAGAGCACCGUCUCAGUGACAGCAAGCAAUGGCGGCAUUCAGAAGACUCAGAUGCAGAACGGGCAUGGGACCGCAAAUCAGAGGGCUAAUGGUGUGAAGGAGGUGGAAAAUGGGGAUGUCGAGAGUUUUAAGGGCGAUAUGAGCGAUUUGGUUGAAAUUUUGUCGAAGUUGAAUCCCAUGGCUCAAGAAUUCGUUCCCCAUUCGCUGGCAAACAAUCAUCGUUGUCUGGGUGGCACUGGCUUUGGCUACUCUAACAAUUUUGUUGUUCAGCCUAAUUCCGGUGGCAACAAGGGCCACCCUAAUGGAAGGAGGAGGAAUUACAAUGGUCUAGGUAAGCCCAGGAUGAAUCCUAGAACAAGUAGUGCACAGAGGGAGGAAGUAAUAAGGAGAACCGUAUAUGUAUCAGACAUUGAUCAACAAGUCACUGAAGAGCAUCUUGCAAGUCUUUUCCUUAACUGUGGACUGGUCAUUGAUUGUCGUAUCUGUGGGGAUCCUAAUUCUGUUCUUCGCUUUGCCUUCAUUGAGUUCACUGAUGAAGAAGGUGCAAGGGCUGCCUUAACUUUGUCUGGGACUAUGCUUGGAUACUACCCAGUGAGAGUGCUGCCCUCCAAAACUGCAAUUGCUCCUGUUAACCCGACAUUUUUGCCAAGGUCUGAAGAUGAAUGUGAGAUGUGCUCAAGAACCUUGUAUUGUGCAAAUAUUGACAAGAAGGUCACACAAGCAAAUGUCAAACUCUUUUUUGAAUCACUUUGUGGAGAGGUUCAUCGAUUGAGGUUGCUUGGAGACUAUAAUCAUUCAACUCGUAUUGCCUUUGUUGAGUUCACAGCGGCUGAAAGUGCAACUGCAGCUCUUAACUGCAGCGGUGCAAUUCUGGGAUCAUUGCCCAUAAGGGUUAGCCCAUCGAAGACACCAGUGAGGCCCUGUGCUCCUCCUUGCAGUCCAAUGCACUGAAUCUCCUCGCAUGCCUCCUGGACUGAUCAACUGCUGAAUUAUAUAUUUACUCAUACAUAUAUAGAUACAGAGACUUUUUUUAAGGUUGCAUGGAGACCAUUUGAUUGAUGUUGCUGUAGUCAUUGAUCUCGCGUGGUUAGAUUCUUGUUAACUGACCAAUAGAUAUAUAGACUCCUUUCCCUGUUUCAUGAGAAAAUUGAGCCAUACUCAAAGCAUUUGCAUAUAAAUUUUAUGAAGCUUGUUAUGACCUUUUUUCUUCCGAAGCUGGGGUUUAUACUGAAAGCAUUCUUUGCUGUAUCUGAAUGCGCUAGUUCCUGUUAUUUCAUGGAUGUUUGCAAAAUCUUUCAAGGUGCAUAGGUCAUCGAGAAUUUGCUUUUGCUGUUUAUUGGAUUCUCAAAAUAUAACUUAAAAAUGUUGGAUUUUGAAGUUUGAGAAAUGAAAUGGAUAGGUACAUAUUUUUGCACACACUCUCAUGGCUCUUAGAAAUUAUGAGAAAAUAAAAGAAAAGUAUUUUAAGAAGGCCAAAAUCUAUCUAAAAAUGCCUUGGCAAAAAAAGUCUCGACUAUAAAAACGAAAAAUUUAUAGUCUGUGUAGUGCAAAAAUGAAAGUGAUCUUCUAAAGAAAUCAGAGACAGAUUGGUUGUGAUGAUUUCUGGCUAAAAGCAUGCUGAUGAUUUCUGUUCUGAGGCAGAUUAACUAUUGUUUCAGGCAUUGGUUCUCAGUCUGGUCUGGUGGUCUGG